rfam:Oryza glumipatula chromosome 3, whole genome shotgun sequence.
AACCACACUAUCGAUGAAUGGAUUCACUCGCGAGAUGAUGUGGUUGUUUCACAUAGGACGAGGACAUAGCAUCCUAUUACCCGCCAUCACACAAAAUUAACAGGAUGCCACGUCCCCACCCUAGAUGGAAAAACCACGUCAUCUCACGGAUAAAUCCAUUCAUCGAUAGUGUGGUU